CAUAACAUAUUUUUACACCCAAAGUCCCCUUGAGCGGGGCUACAGUCCAUAGAAGGUGCUAGACCUGUACGGGUGAAAAAAGUUACGGUAGGUUAUUCCUUAGAGUCGGGUUGUUUGAGAUUGCAGCCCAAAGAAGGUGGUAAAUUUAUGCGACUAAUUUUGUUUGUUUGAUAAGGAAUUAUUUGAUGAUGAUUAAAACAAACAAUAAUUAAUUGGAUGAAAUACCCAUCAGGUGAUUAUAAGAGAGAAAAUCUCAAAAUUAUAAUAACAAAAAUCCCCUGAUAAGUAAUAAAUGAGUAAUAUUUUUACUUAUUUUAACAUAUUGAAAAAAAAAAUAUAUAUAUAUGUAUAUAUUAAAAGUAAUCUUUCCAUAAAUAUUUCAUAAAUAAUGAAAAGAUUACAUUUAUCAUUAUUUAUUUAUAUUGCACAUUGAUUAACUUUAUUGUUUUCUUUUUUGUAAAUGUUUCAAUUUAAAAUGCAAGUUGAAAAAAAAAAAUGAAGUUUAAAAUGAAGUUGAGCAAUAACAGGUCUGUGAUGCCCUUAGAUGUCCAGGGCUGCACGCGCGCUACACUGGAGGAAUCAGCGUGCUGUAACCAUUACCGAAAGGUAUUGGUAACCCCUUGAAAAUCCUCCGUGAUCGGGAUCGGGAAUUGCAAUUAUUUCCCUUGAACGAGGAAUUCCUAGUGUGAUUGCUCAAAAAAUCAGCUCACGUUGAUUACGUCCCUGCCCUUUGUACAAACCGCCCGUCGCUGCCCGGGAUUGAGCCGUUUCGAGAAAAGCGGAGACUGCUGUUUUGAUAUCUUUCAAGGGUAGAGAUUCUUUGGUGGAAACUGCUUUAAUCGCAGUGGCUUGAACCGGGCAAAAGUCGUAACAAGCUAGAUAUGCUACCAAUA
rnacentral:ncRNA from 1 species